rnacentral:rRNA from 1 species
AGGAAUAUUGGUCAAUGGACGAGAGUCUGAACCAGCCAAGUAGCGUGAAGGAUGAAGGUCCUACGGAUUGUAAACUUCUUUUAUAAGGGAAUAAACCCUCCCACGUGUGGGAGCUUGUAUGUACCUUAUGAAUAAGCAUCGGCUAACUCCGUGCCAGCAGCCGCGGUAAUACGGAGGAUGCGAGCGUUAUCCGGAUUUAUUGGGUUUAAAGGGAGCGCAGACGGGUCGUUAAGUCAGCUGUGAAAGUUUGGGGCUCAACCUUAAAAUUGCAGUUGAUACUGGUAGUCUUGAGUGCAGCAGAGGUAGGCGGAAUUCGUGGUGUAGCGGUGAAAUGCUUAGAUAUCACGAAGAACUCCGAUUGCGAAGGCAGCACACUAAUCCGUAACUGACGUUCAUGCUCGAAAGUGUGGGUAUCAAACAGGAUUAGAUACCCUGGUAGUCCACACGGUAAACGAUGGAUACUCGCUGUUGGCGAUAUACAGUCAGCGGCUUAGCGAAAGCGUUAAGUAUCCCACCUGGGGAGUACGCCGGCAACGGUGAAACUCAAAGGAAUUGACGGGGGCCCGCACAAGCGGAGGAACAUGUGGUUUAAUUCGAUGAUACGCGAGGAACCUUACCCGGGCUUAAAUUGCAAAGGAAUAAUCUGGAAACAGAUUAGUCUUCGGACCUUUGUGAAGGUGCUGCAUGGUUGUCGUCAGCUCGUGCCGUGAGGUGUCGGCUUAAGUGCCAUAACGAGCGCAACCCUCGCCGCCAGUUACUAACAGGUAAUGCUGAGGACUCUGGCGGGACUGCCAUCGUAAGAUGUGAGGAAGGUGGGGAUGACGUCAAAUCAGCACGGCCCUUACGUCCGGGGCUACACACGUGUUACAAUGGGCGGUACAGAAGGCAGCUACCUGGCGACAGGAUGCCAAUCCCUAAAGCCGCUCUCAGUUCGGACUGGAGUCUGCAACCCGACUCCACGAAGCUGGAUUCGCUAGUAAUCGCGCAUCAGCCACGGCGCGGUGAAUACGUUCCCG